GUGGCUUCAGAUCUGGAAUUUAUUGUUGCAUUCACUUUUCAAAUGUGUUUGUAGUGUUUAAUUGAAGCCUAUAAUUGUGUUCCCCUCGCUAUCCACUACUGCAAUUUCGAUGCUGUACUUGGACGUCGGGGAACUAAAUUU